UACGUAGGUGGCAAGCGUUGUCCGGAAUUACUGGGUGUAAAGCGCGUGUAGGCGGCAGGCCAAGUCUGCGGUGAAAGCGCCCGGCUCAACUGGGCGAGGUCCGUGGAAACUGGUCAGCUGGAGGACGGUAGAGGCGAGUGGAAUUCCCGGUGUAGUGGUGAAAUGCGUUGAUAUCGAUAGGAACUCCGGUGGCGAAGGCGACACGCUGGACCUUUUCUGACGCUGAGGCGCGAAAGCCAGGGGAGCAAACGGGG
rnacentral:rRNA from 1 species